AAGUUGAAAAGAACUUUGAAGAGAGAGUUCAAAAGGGCGUGAAACCGCUUAGAAUAAAACGGACGGAGCCGUCAGUGGCCCGGCGGAAUCAGUCGUAUGACGCGCGAUGACCAUCUUCGCCGGAGCGAAAGUCCGGCGGGCGGGUCGGUAAAAAGCGUUCAUUCGAUGCAUUUCCGCCGGGUAUGCGUCACGACCGAUGCGAAAGGCUAGCGAAUCCGGCCGGUUGAGGUGGAAGCCCUUCGGGGUAUUCAUUACCAGCUGGUCGGCAUAUAGUCGCUAGACCGCAGUAGCAUCGAGCGCGGGAUAUAUAUCGAGCGCCGGCAAAAGAUGCUCGUUCGAGCGGCGGAUAUUCGUCGGAACUGGGCCGUACCUGCUCGCAGGUUAUGCCCGUUGCCGGUCGAUUUUGAAGUCGCCGACGAGUUAUGGCGUUCGGGCGUCAGUGGCGUCCGAGACGGUCAACCGUCCGACCCGUCUUGAAACACGGACCAAGGAGUCUAACGUACGCGCGAGCUAAUGAGUGGAAAACUCAUGAGCGCAAUAAAAGUAAAUGCCUCGGUACGAUCCUCGGGUAUUUAUUUACCCGAGGCGCAGUACCGUCCCAUCCUGAUCGCUCGUCGAUAGGGUGGAGACCGAGUGCAUACGUUGGGACCCGAAAGAUGGUGAACUAUGCCUGAGCAGAGCGAAGCCAGAGGAAACUCUGGUGGAGGUUCGUAGCGGUUCUGACGUGCAAAUCGAUCGUCAGAC
rnacentral:rRNA from 1 species